CACCCCAAAGAGUGUCAUUCAGGUAUACUAAAAUAUGAUUGGCGCUCUUUUGAGUGUG
rnacentral:pre_miRNA from 1 species